UGAUUUCUAGGUGUUUUAAAAAAAACAGAGUAACAUAUAUAUGCAUGAUUUUAAUACUUAGGCAUAGUUUCUACGUGAUAAGACAAAUGAAAAUUUAACAUAUUUUUAACAUCUAACAACCUACUAGAUUAUUAGGAUUUGAUUUUAACAUUUAAAAAUUAAUGGAAUCUAGUUAUUAUUUUUUAAGACUUAUUAACAAAAGCGUCAAGCAAAUUGAAAAUUGAUUAGAUUAUAACACCUACAAACAUUAAAUCUAGGUGGUUAAAGACAAACCUAGGCAUGAUUUCUAAAAAAUUUAUAAUAAACAAGUAAGCAUAUAAAUCCCCCUCCCCUAGACGACCCCCCAAAUAAAUUUAUAUAUAUGAUCCUUUAGAGUUACAAUUGUUACAACAUUCUAAUAAAUAAAAUAGGCAAAAAAUAAAAUAUAUAUAUAUAUACAUUCAAAUAAACAAAUAAAUCUUUCUUCAAUUAAUCUUCAACUCGAACUUCAAGUUUGAAACCUGUCAAAGUAAUCAAAUAACGGUUAAGCAAAACAAAUUGAUUCACCUUUUACUCGAACAAAGUAGCAAAAUAGCGAAGAAGAACACUUGAAUAAUUAUCGGAUUCUCAAUGUAUUGUUAAAGUAGCAAGAGAGCAAUGAGAGAAGGGAGAGUGAUAAGAGAAAUUUUUUUGAUUGAGAGUGAAUGAGUGUCUGAGUUGUUGAGUUCAUCCAUGAGAAAAGAAUGAAAAUAAAUGCCUUAUUUUAUAAUAGUGGAGAGGUCAUGAUUUUAAAGGAAAAGAAUCAUUUUUUGAGCAAUUAUGGAGGAAUUAUCUCUUUAAUAAGAGAAAUAAAUCAAUCAAACAUUACCAAAUAUAAUCAAAAUAAAAUCAUUCCACAAAUAAUAAGGCAAAUCGGAAUAAUUUAUGGCAAAAUAAUGAAUAAUACACAAGGCAAUAUUGCUUCCAAUUAGGUACCAAAUAUUCACUUAUCAUAGCAACAUCAUUUACCAAUAGCAAAAAGAUAUUCACUAAAAAAAUUUAAUUCAUUUUCCUUAAAUAUCACAAAGAGAGAUUCUAUGCAUCUUUCUAAUAAACUAAUUUAGGAGAGGUAACAACAAUUCCAAUUUUUCAUAAAGUUAUAUCACAAGCAAAUUAAAUUACCUUAUUAUUCAAACUAAGCAAUCCAUUCAACAUGCUCAAAUAAUUAAAAGGAAACAGAAACAUGCCAAUAUAUCAUAAUUAAUAGAUAUAACUUAAAAAGAAAGAGUAACUCUAAAUAAUACUAGUGGUGUGAAGGUGUUAACUCUAAUCUUCAAUCCAAACAACACAUUCUUUUAAAUUUAACCAACACACCUGAAUAUUAAAACGGAGACACAAUCAUGAACGGAUUACGCAAUUUAUGAAGCUACCAAUAAUGCAUAAUUAUAAAAAAAAAACAUCCAGAGAAGCCAUACUUUUCACGUAGAAUAAGCAUGCUAAAGGCAAAGGCACAUAAAUGUAUAUUGAAAAAUCAAUUGGUUUAACUCAUUAUAAACAUAAGAGGAUUUAGACAUCAUCUUAGCGUGCAAUAGAAUAAAUAAAAUAAAAAGCAUUCAUCUUAUCACUAAUUAAAGGCUUAAAUCAUAUAACACAAACAUUUAGGAAUCAUCAAUUAUCAUAUCCCUUAAUACUUUAGAACAUGAGCAGAUUAACAUAGCGGUUCACAAGCUAAGAAGAGAUAUUAGAGGGAAAUUUAACAAGACCGAGAUAUCUAAUUUAAAGAAAUCCAGAAAGAUCACAGCGAUUGCCUCACAAAAACAUACAAUGAAAUAGUAGCAUGAAAUUAUUCUUGUGUAGUACGAGCAUGUAAUUCAGUCAAAGCUAUGAAAAUUUAUUUGAAUGAGGUUUGAAUUGAAACGAAACUGACCUGGACGGAUCUGUACAGAUCCGUCUUUAACAGACUUUUCAAUUCCGCCGGAAUGUUGCCUUGAUCGCUGUGCGGAGCUGCUGCGUGGAGUUUGCUGGAGCCGUUUCUCCUCGCCUGGCUGCUGCUGUCUCUCGCGGGCUGCCUGGCGUUCCUCCUCUUCGCAGCUGCUGGCCGAGCGCAGCAGUCCCCGCUGCUGACACUGAUGGGAGGCGCGGGGAGGCGACAAGGAAGGCGAGAGGGGAAGGGAGAGGGGUCGCGAGAGAAGGAGAAAGGGAGGAUCGGAAACGAAGGAGAAGGAAGGAGAAGAAGAGGGAGAGAGGGCAGGAAGGGAGGAGCAACGGCUGCUUGGGCGGCUUCUGUCCGGCUGUCUCCUCGCCGGAAAAAAUUGGAGAGGAGAGGGGGGGUUGCGGCGGCUGGUGACGGGGAGGGGAGAAAGAGAAGAGAGAGAGAGAGAGAGGGGGAAGACGACAAGCGAGAGGGGGAAGACGACAAGCGAGAGGGGGAAGACGACAAGAGAGAGAGGGGCGUCGCCGCCUCGCUUGGGGUUGACGAUUUCCACCGGAAAGAAUGGAGAGAGAGGUGGCGCGGCUGGAGAGAGUAGGAGAGGGUGAGAGAAGAAGU
rnacentral:lncRNA from 1 species